rnacentral:rRNA from 1 species
GUCUGUAUGAAGAUAUAUAGAGUCUAACCUGCCCCUUGAAAAAUUUUGAAAGGCCGCGGUAUAUUAACUGUGCAAAGGUAGCAUAAUCAUUAGUUUUUUAAUUGAAGGCUUGUAUGAAGGGUUGGACAAAGAAAAAUCUGUCUUCUAUUUUUAUUUUUGAAUUUUACUUUUAAGUGAAAAGGCUUAAUUAAUUUAAAGGGACGAUAAGACCCUAUAAAUCUUUAUAUUAAUUUAUUUUUAAAUAACUAAUUUUGUAAAAUGAUUUAUAAAAAUAAAAAAUAUUUUGUUGGGGCGAUGAGAAUAUAAAUAUAACUGUUUUAAAAUGUAAACAAAGUUAUUUGUUAAAAUUUAAAGAUCCUUUAUAAAGAUUAGAAGUUUAAGUUACUUUAGGGAUAACAGCGUUAUUUUUUUUGAGAGUUCUUAUCGAAAAGAAAGUUUGCGACCUCGAUGUUGAAUUAAAAUAUCUUUAUGGUGUAGCUGCUAUAGUAAGAGAGUCUGUUCGACUUUUAAAUUUUU